rnacentral:rRNA from 1 species
GUGGAUUAGAUACCCUGGUAGUCCACACCGUAAACGUUGGGCGCUAGGUGUGGGACUCAUUCCACGAGUUCCGUGCCGCAGCUAACGCAUUAAGCGCCCCGCCUGGGGAGUACGGCCGCAAGGCUAAAACUCAAAGGAAUUGACGGGGGCCCGCACAAGCGGCGGAGCAUGCGGAUUAAUUCGAUGCAACGCGAAGAACCUUACCUGGGUUUGACAUAUAGAGAAAUCCUCCAGAGAUGGGGGGUCCGUAAGGGCUCUAUACAGGUGGUGCAUGGUUGUCGUCAACU